UACGUAGGGGGCAAGCGUUACCCGGAAUUAUUGGGCGUAAAGAGUACGUAGGUGGCAACCUAAGCGCAGGGUUUAAGGCAAUGGCUCAACCAUUGUUCGCCCUGCGAACUGGGAUGCUUGAGUGCAGGAGAGGAAAGCGGAAUUCCUAGUGUAGCGGUGAAAUGCGUAGAUAUUAGGAGGAACACCAGUGGCGAAGGCGGCUUUCUGGACUGUAACUGACACUGAGGUACGAAAGCGUGGGGAGCAAACAGG
rnacentral:rRNA from 1 species